rnacentral:rRNA from 1 species
AACGAACGCUGGCGGCAUGCCUAACACAUGCAAGUCGAACGAGACCUUCGGGUCUAGUGGCGCACGGGUGCGUAACGCGUGGGAACCUGCCCUUAGGUUCGGAAUAACUCCCCGAAAGGGGUGCUAAUACCGGAUAAUGUCUUCGGACCAAAGAUUUAUCGCCUUUGGAUGGGCCCGCGUUGGAUUAGCUAGUUGGUAGGGUAAAAGCCUACCAAGGCGACGAUCCAUAGCUGGUCUGAGAGGAUGAUCAGCCACACUGGGACUGAGACACGGCCCAGAGUCCAACGGGAGGAAGCAAUGGGGGAUAUUGGACAAUGGGCGAGAGCCUGAUCUAGCAAGGCCACGUGAGUGAGGAAGGACUGAGGGAUGGAAAGCUCUUGUACCCGGGAGCAUGAAGAGAGUGACGUGAGAAUAAGCACCGGCUAAGUCCAUG